UCGCGCAUUGCUAUCGGUGAAUCAGAAUACUCAGAUUCUGUUCAAAAUUUAUGGCGAAUAUAUUAUGACAACAAAAUCAGCAACCUCCGAUACGCAGUCCGCAGAUGACACAACGUUCUUUGCCUACUCGGAACAGAUAAUGGCGGUACUGCUUACCAAAGUGCAAUAAGCAAUUGAAAUGGCCUUUCUAUUAAUAGGGUAAAGACAAAACAUAUGUUAGUGGAUCAGACUAGACUCCUGACACGAUCUUGAAAACUGGCGGACUUUGAAUUUGUAGACAAAUUUGUUAAUUUGGGAUCACUCAUAAGUAACCAGAUAGAAGCAGGAAGGAGUGUUGGUGAUAUAUAAUCUGCAAUUGCUAACCUAUAUGAUGAGUCAAGUCAUUGGUGAAGAAUAUUGUAAGUCAAAAGGAUAUUUCCUGUGGCCUGAUGGCCAGGUUCCUCUCAUGAUAUUACAAUUCUUGAUAACUCAGUUCUAUGAGAACAUUUGGAGUAUGGAAACUUUGCUUCCCGAUUGUGCCACUAACAUUGCGCUUGUCACUGCCUAAAGUGCAGGCUAUUAUUAUUCCAGCUAUGCUGCCCAAUAUGUAUAAUAGGAAUUAUAAUUUGGUAGAUAUACUGGCAGAAGUGGUAGUUCCAACAUUUUCCUUAAAUUAAACUCAGCUAAACUUUAAUCAUUUGUCUCUCUAUAAAUUAUACUAUUAUUUUUUAUACCAAUGUAAAGGAAUGACUAAAAUAUAUAAGAUGUUUCUAA